GUGCUCACUUUGACAGCACAUAUACUAAAAUUGGAACGAUACAGAGAAGAUUAGCAUGGCCCUUGCUCAAGGAUGACAUACAAAUUCUUGAAAUGUUCCAUAUUAAA